rnacentral:rRNA from 1 species
CAGGCGUAGUCGAUGGACAUCCGGUUGAUAUUCCGGAACCGGCGAAGAACCGCCCAUGACGAACCUAGUGAUGCUAAACGCCCAAAGCUGUUGUCCAAGACCUUCGGGUUGAGGGUUUCAGUGGAGCGCGUGACCCGAUCUAGUAGUAGUCAAGCGAUGGAGAGACGCAGGAAGGUAGCCUCCGCGUGGCGAUGGUAGUCCACGUCCAAGGGUGUAGGGCGAGCUGUAGGCAAAUCCGCAGCUCACAUAGCCUGAGACCUGAUAGUGACCGCGUAUGCGGGAAGCAGGGUGAUCCUAUGCUGCCAAGAAAAUCUUCUAGCGAGGUUCGAGCCGCCCGUACCCCAAACCGACUCAGGUGGUUAGGUAGAGAAUACCAAGGCGAUCGAGUGAAUCGUGGUUAAGGAAUUCGGCAAAAUACCCCCGUAACUUCGGGAGAAGGGGGGCCCAGAGGGUGAAGGCACUUGCUGCCUAGCCUGAACGGCCGCAGAGACCAGGGAGAAGCGACUGUUUACUAAAAACACAGGUCCGUGCGAAGUCGCAAGACGAUGUAUACGGACUGACGCCUGCCCGGUGCUGGAAGGUUAAGAGGACCGGUUAGUUCUUCGGAGCGAAGCUGAGAAUUUAAGCCCCAGUAAACGGCGGUGGU